rnacentral:rRNA from 1 species
AUUGAACGCUGGCGGCAGGCUUAACACAUGCAAGUCGAGCGGUAACAGAGAGAAGCUUGCUUCUCUGCUGACGAGCGGCGGACGGGUGAGUAAUGCCUAGGAAUCUGCCUAGUAGUGGGGGAUAACUUGCCGAAAGGUAAGCUAAUACCGCAUACGUCCUACGGGAGAAAGGAGGCGACCUUCGGGCCUUUCGCUAUUAGAUGAGCCUAGGUCGGAUUAGUUAGUUGGUGAGGUAAUGGCUCACCAAGACCGCGAUCCGUAACUGGUCUGAGAGGAUGAUCAGUCACACUGGAACUGAGACACGGUCCAGACUUCUACGGGAGGCAGCAGUGGGGAAUAUUGGACAAUGGGGGGAACCCUGAUCCAGCCAUGCCGCGUGUGUGAAGAAGGUCUUAGGAUUGUAAAGCACUUUAGGUUGGGAGGAAGAGCAGUUAACUAAUAUUUGACUGUUUUGACGUUACCGACAGAAUAAGCACCGGCUAGCUUCGUGCCAGCAGCCGCCGCCG